GAUGAACGCUAGCGGCAGGCUUAAUACAUGCAAGUCGAGGGGUAGCAAGAUUGUAGCAAUACAAUUGUUGACGACCGGCAAACGGGUGCGGAACACGUACACAACCUUCCUGCAAGUGGGGAAUAGCCCAGAGAAAUUUGGAUUAAUACCCCGUAACAUAGCGAUGUGGCAUCACAUUGCUAUUAUAGCUUCGGCGCUUGUUGAUGGGUGUGCGGCUGAUUAGAUAGUUGGCGGGGUAACGGCCCACCAAGUCUACGAUCAGUAGCUGAUGUGAGAGCAUGAUCAGCCACACGGGCACUGAGACACGGGCCCGACUCCUACGGGAGGCAGCAGUAAGGAAUAUUGGACAAUGGACGCAAGUCUGAUCCAGCCAUGCCGCGUGAAGGAUUAAGGUCCUCUGGAUUGUAAACUUCUUUUAUAAGGGACGAAAAAAGGUCUUUCUAGAUCGUCUGACGGUACCUUAUGAAUAAGCACCGGCUAACUACGUGCCAGCAGCCGCAGUAACAC
rnacentral:rRNA from 1 species